rnacentral:lncRNA from 1 species
AGAUCCUCUCCCCACCUUGAAUUCCAAUUGAUGGAAUAAACUUGAGCCUUGCAGCUUAUAUUUUUGUAGUGAGAUUUUGCCGCCCUUUACCUUUACAAGGAUCCUUGUAUCAACAUAUUUGGCCAAAUCUAGUAGGUGAAGAUCUACUCUUCAUAAUCCCCUUUUUUAUUUUGUUACUUGUGUGUUUUGGAUAAGGUGGAUCUUCAUCUGAUCUUGAAAAUGGGGAAGCUAAGUCGUUGUUUUCACUGGUAGUGAAUGAGUUUAGGUGCUUUGGGCCUGAUGGAGAUGGAAUAGCGUUUGCGUUGGGAUGUGUGAGUAGCCUUUCCUCUUGUUUGUGUUGUCUCUCAAAUUUGGGGUGGACUAGUUGCUAGUAGGAUUCCCUUUGUGAUACUAGUAUAAUUGUUCUUAAUUUUAUAUUUGAACCAUCAUUUUUUGAAAUGAUAUUAUUUUGCUACUUUUGUAAGUUCCUAUAAAGUACAAUGAAAUUCUCUGUUCUUAUGAACAAAAGAACAAUAGUCUUGUAAAAGUAACCCAAAGGAUGUGCAACAACUUGACAUAUUACGAUACAAAAUAGACCAUCUAUCUUCAUCUCGUUGUUGCAUGAAUAAUUCAAUUGAUUUCAAGUUAAGAUAUACAGACUUCAAAUUUGGAUAUUUUUUUUUGUUAGCCUUAUUAUAUGGUACUGAGCAAGUAUUUGGUAAAUGAGAGAUUGGUAAUGCUGCUAAAUGAUAUAUGCCGCGUGGUUGUUUUCGACUAUUUUCUACACAUGAAAAUUUUAGGAGUUUAAUGGAAUUUUCAUAGCUUAAACUAUCUUAAAUAUUGGAUUAAAUAUAGGGAAAUUUUUAAAGAACGAGCAUGCUUGCGAAAAUUCGCGAGUAGAAAACCAAAUAUUUUUUAUGGUUUCAGUUUAAGAAAUAAUGAUAGUAUCAUUGUUCAGUUUAAAGAAGUAAUCAGUGUUCAGUUUAAAAAAUAGUGAUUGUACCCGUGUUUAGUUCUAGAAAUAGUUAGUGUUUAGUUUACGAAAUAGUGUUAGUACCAGUAUUUAGUUUAAGAAAUAGUUAAUGCUCACUAUGAAAUAGUGAUAUUAUCGUGUUUAGUUAUGAAAAUAGUUAGUGAUUAGUUUACGAAAUAGUGAUGGAACCAAUGUUCAAUUUACGAAAUAGUGAUAGUACCAGUGUUCAUUUUACGAAAUAAUGAUAGUACCAGUAUUCAGUUUAAGAAAUAGUCAGUGCUUACUUUAAGAAAUAGUGAUAGUAUCGUGUUUAGUUCUAGAAAUAGUUUGUGGUCAGUUUACAAAAUAGUGAUAGUACCAGUGUUUAGUUUAAGAAAUAGUCAAUAUUCAAUUCUAGAAAUAGUCUGUGUUCAGUUUAAGAAAUAGUGAUAGUAUCAAUGUUCAGUUAACGAAAUAGUGAUAGUACCAGUGUUCAGUUUAAGAAAUAGUCAGUGCUUACUUUAAGAAAUAAGGUAGAAGAUAAUGAGAAGGUAUUUAUAGAAAAGUAAAAUCAAAUAUUUUUUUUCGGAUUUUUAUUAAUUUUUUUAAUUUUUUUACUUUUUAUUCAUAUAAUUAAUCUCUGUCGUUGGAUUAAAAAAAUUUGAAUUCCAACACUCCACAUUGUGCCACGUGGCACAACGGUAAUAUUUCAGAAUUAUAAACUGUUUUUUCUUCUUUUUUUUUUCAAUUUAUAAAGGUGCAUAACGUGGACCGUUGAUCUCAGAUCCAACAGCUGAAAUUAAAUAAGGUUUUUAAAUUUUUGUUACGGUUGGAAAUCCAAUGCUCCACAAAAUGUUGCUGUUGAAAUCCAACGGACGAGGGAAAGCCAUGUGGCCUACCAACGGUAACAUUUUCAGAGUGCGUCGCGAGCCCCAACUUCUGAAAUCUUGUCGGACGACGCGCACCAACGCGCUUGACAGAAAAAAAAAAAAAGUGGCUAACGUCGCCUAACGUCAGCCUUGCCAUCGGGCUAUGGGCCCAGAUCCUAUCGUUAGGCCUUUCCCUCGAGCCCACUCGGGCUCAAUAGCCAGCUUGGACUGGACCUUCUUGCUCGGGCAACUGGACACUAUUUAAUCCAUUGUCCACCGGGCUAUUAGCUAUGGUUGAGCUGCUCUAAGGCCAUAAGAUAGGCCUUGACAGGGCCCACAAGCAAUGAAAGACCAAGAUACUAGGCCCACAGGUGGGCCCAAUAGAUUCAGUUGACAGCACACGACUCCAAAAUGACCAUUCAAAGCCUUGGAUCGUCUACUAACAAAAAGAAAUGAGUGCUUGGUUUAAAACUAUUUUUGAUAAUGUCAUUUAGUACUAUGUUUUAGUGAUAUUCUUUUUCACUUUGUAAGUGAGAGGUCUUAGGUUCGCUUCUUGUCAAAGACAAAUUUGAACCACAUUAUUGCUGGCCCAUUGUGAGGCUAAGUCUACUCCCUUCCCCAAACUGUAUAUGAUAUCAUUUGUUCAAAAGCAUUUUUGAUGGUACAUUGUAAAUAAAUAAAAAGGCCACACAGAUACAUUGGAAAUAAUAAAUAAAUUAAAAUAGAAUAGUAGACUACUCUUAAGUAAUAGAUACAGAAAAUUACUUGUAACGCCAAGACACGAAGCAAAAGCAUAAGUUAUUCCAUCCUCACAACUCCAUCUUUAUAACUUCAUAAACUCUUGCAAAUGUGGAUUAUACGUUAGGCCAUAUAAGGGUCCUAAGCUUAUCACGUUAUCAAAUUUAAUGAAUUAUCAUGGGAAAACUAAUGAAAAGGGUUUGAAACUUUGAAAGUUAACCAAAAACAAUGUAAUAACUUUAUUUAAUGGUUAGGAUAAAACCCAAUACUAAACCAGUCCAAUUAAAAUGGCCUAAACAUUGAGUUUCCAAAUUUACCCCAAACAACAAGCCUUUUGUCCGUUUAAUAUCUCUGUUCAGUUAUGCGCCUCUCUGCUAUUCUUUGUCUCCUCCAUUCCUUCCUGAAACCUUCCAUUUAAACACAAGAAAAUUGAAAUCCCACAAGCCCUCCCCCUCCUUGCACCGGCAAAAGAGGUUUUUCAAAUUAAGAACAAAUUGUCUCAUGCAAAUUUUUGUCAACUUUUUUGAGCUCAGAAUCUCUUCCCAAAUUUUCACUAAACAAUAUUCUCACUUUUCAUCUUCUAACAACUCAGAUCCUCUCCCCACCUUGAAUUCCAAUCGAUGGAAUAAACUUGAGCCUUGCCGCUUAUAUUUCUAUAGUGAGCUUUUGCCGCCCUUUACCUUUGCAAUGAUCCUUGUAUCAGCAUAUCUAACCGAAUCUAGUAGGUGAAGAUCUACUCUUCAUAAUCCCCUUUUUUAUUUUGUUACUUGUGUGUUUUGGAUAAGUUGGAUCUUCAUCUGAUCUUGAAAAUGGGGAAGAUAAGUCGCUAUUUUC